rnacentral:sRNA from 1 species
GUGCCUUUAAAUUACUGCUUUCGGAGGGUGCAUCUAGGGGGAGGUGGGAGGCAGGAAAACAUCUUCCUACCGGUCUCCCUCCUCCCUCCCCUCCAAGACUCUUCAGGGUUUGGAGAGUGAUUGCUGCCCAGAGAGAAUCUUUUCCAGCUCCCAGCUGGCAGGCUAAGGCCCUCCGGAGCCCAAGGCGAGCCCAAGCAGAAGCCAGUAGGGUUAUCUGUGUCAGGAUCAUUUCCAGGGGAAUAGUUCUGGCCCCUGGCAGGUAAAGACAGGCCAGAGGAGAAGAGGCAGAAGAGGAGAGAAAGCAGGCUCUUUGCGAGCAGCCCAGGUUGGAGAAAGGCUCUGUACUUUUGGCGUUCCUGCGGGGAUAUCCCCUCUCACGUUGGCAGCCAGGCUGAGAAAGGGCUUCAAGAUCCCCGCAGAAUGACAACUCUUGUUCCUGCAACCCUCUCCUUCCUUCUUCUCUGGACCCUGCCAGGGCAGGUCCUCCUCAGGGUGGCCUUGGCAAAAGAGGAAGUCAAAUCUGGAACCAAGGGGUCCCAGCCCAUGUCCCCCUCUGAUUUCCUAGACAAACUUAUGGGGCGAACAUCUGGAUAUGAUGCCAGGAUUCGGCCCAAUUUUAAAGGCCCACCCGUGAACGUGACCUGCAACAUCUUCAUCAACAGUUUCAGCUCCGUCACCGAGACCACAAUGGACUACCGGGUGAAUGUCUUCUUGCGGCAACAGUGGAAUGACCCUCGCCUGUCCUACCGAGAAUAUCCUGAUGACUCUCUGGACCUCGAUCCCUCCAUGCUGGACUCUAUCUGGAAGCCAGACCUGUUCUUUGCUAAUGAGAAAGGGGCCAACUUCCAUGAGGUGACCACGGACAACAAGUUACUGCGCAUCUUCAAGAAUGGGAAUGUGCUGUACAGCAUCAGGCUGACCCUCAUUUUGUCCUGCCCGAUGGACCUCAAGAACUUCCCCAUGGACAUCCAGACCUGCACGAUGCAGCUGGAGAGCUUUGGCUACACCAUGAAUGACCUCGUGUUUGAGUGGCUGGAAGAUGCUCCUGCUGUCCAAGUGGCUGAGGGGCUGACUCUGCCCCAGUUUAUCUUGCGGGAUGAGAAGGAUCUAGGCUGUUGUACCAAGCACUACAACACAGGGAAAUUCACCUGCAUCGAGGUAAAGUUUCACCUGGAACGGCAGAUGGGCUACUAUCUGAUUCAGAUGUACAUCCCCAGCCUACUCAUUGUCAUCCUGUCCUGGGUCUCCUUCUGGAUCAACAUGGAUGCUGCCCCUGCCCGUGUGGGCCUGGGCAUCACCACCGUGCUCACCAUGACCACCCAGAGCUCUGGCUCCCGGGCCUCUUUGCCUAAGGUGAAGAGACAUGCAAGGGAACUUGCUUGCCAUAGAGUACCCCAUUUCCCAUUCAUCCCAAUGUGCCCUCCUGCUCACCAUUUACCUUGGAUUUAAGGUUGAGAAGACCCACUGGGCAAAAGCUGGUGUCCUGCAUUCUCUCUCCCUGUAAUAUACUGCUAAUAACAUUGUUGACAAUGUGGAGGCUGGGGUUAGGGAUACUAUCUGGCUAGGGAAUGAGGAGAGACAGUGCCUUACUUUGACUCUCUUCAGGAAAUACUAGCAUGUCCAAGGUCAAAAGAUCCUCAGCAAGUAGAAAGUCCUACUGCCUCAUAAUACAAAUGAGGAGAAUACAGCCCAGAGUGGUAAACUAACCUUCUUAAGAUCAUGCCUUAUAAGAAACAACCAAAAGAAUGUCAGAGUUUUGAACCAAUUUCUCUCAUCUUACUGUAUCAGAAAUUAGAAACUAUCACAAAGCGCUCUAGAGAUAUUAUCCAUUCUUUU